UACGGAGGAUCCAAGCGUUAUCCGGAUUUAUUGGGUUUAAAGGGUGCGUAGGCGGAUUGACAAGUUAGAGGUGAAAUGUCCGAGCUCAACUCGGGAACUGCCUCUAAUACUGUUGAUCUAGAGAGUAGACGCGGUAGGCGGAAUGUAUGGUGUAGCGGUGAAAUGCUUAGAGAUCAUACAGAACACCGAUUGCGAAGGCAGCUUACCAAUCUAUAUCUGACGUUGAGGCACGAAAGCGUGGGGAGCAAACAGG
rnacentral:rRNA from 1 species